rnacentral:lncRNA from 1 species
CGCGGUGAUUUAACAGCUUUUGUUUUGGGCAGAAGAACCUAUGGGCACAAAAAGCAGGAACGAGUAGCGGUGGCUGAAGAACGAGCAGGAGCUUGAAUUUCAGUUUUCUUAUGAGGAAUUUUCCAGAAAAGAUAUCUUCACUGUGAAAUAACUAAAUAAAUGCCCACUCAGUACAGUCACUGUCUCCCUUUUGGAACUUGAUGGCACCUUAAGCCCAGGUUUGCCUCCACUCUAGAAACUCAUCAGAGUGAUGCCCUUCUCAAAUGGGGGAGGUCCCAAAGCGGAUAUCCUGGCAGUGUGAAAGGCCGGCUAAAGGUUUGUGCCAAGAGGAUCUGUGGAAUGCAUCUCCUACAGCUGGUGCUGCUGAGUAACCACUCUGAUCUGGCAUCUUCUUUGAUCAAGUUACAGAGCAGAGUUUCCAGGGCUGGGGAUUGAAGUCCUGCCUCCUCCCUUUGUCUCUGGUUGUCCUCGGUAAUGUUUUUCCCUCAAGGUACUCAUGAUACUUCCCAUGGGCUUUCCCUGCACUCCAAACACAGAGCUGAGACUUCCACCUAAUGUAGAAAGCUAGCACGAGCCGGCGCUGACAGAUGGAAGACUUGAGAUGUUACAAGAUUAUAUAUGGAAACACAAAAGGAGUGGAGUUGCUGGGUCAUAUGGCAAUUCAUUUGAGGAACUGAGAAGCUUAUUCCAUGGAGGCUGAACUGUUUUAUAUUCCCACCAGCAACGUUAGAGACGGGGUUUCACCGCGUUAGCCAGAAUGGUUUCUAUCUCCUGACCUCAUGAUCCGCCCACCUCGGCCUCCCAAAGUGCUGGGAUUACAGGCGUGAGCCACUGUGCCUGGCCAAACGCUGGUAGGUUUUGAGUGAGACCACAUUACAUUUAAAUAUAUUUACAAUGUUUUCUGCUCUAUUCUUUAGUAGACUUUUCCUCACGUGGUCCUACGCAUUUCUUUCUAAGUUUAUUUUCAUAUAGCCUAUCCCUGUCUACAAUUUAAAUUGGGAUCUUCUAUAUUCUAGUUAUUAUUUGUAAAUAAGAAAACUACUGACUUUUUUCUAGUAUAUUUUCUCAGAAUAGGAUUUUCUAUUUUUCUAUAAAAUGACCAAUGUUAUGAAGCUUCGUAAGUUUUGUCAAAGUGAUACACACAUACAGCAAAAAAUCAAAUAGUACAGAAGUAUAAAAGCAACAACCUCUGCCUUGCCCCUUCUCCACCUUCAGGUCCCCUUCCCAGAUACAAUAAUUUUUAGCUUUUUAUUUUUAAUUAUUCUGGUUGUUACCUACAUAACUCUGGGCAAUAUGGAAAAGUUAUUGAUUUUGUAUAUUAAUUUCAUAAUCAGUUACCUUGAUGAAUUCUCUUGUUUCUAGUAGUUUUUCUUUAGGGUUUUAAAGGGAUACAAUCAUACCAUUUGCAGUUAGUAACCAUUUUAUCUCCUCUUAUUUCCAACUUCGUACUGUUUUCUCUUGUCUAAUUUGUUUUUAAUUGGUGGGUACUUCUAGAACAAGGUUAAAUAAAAGUGGUGUUGGUGGGCGUCCUUAUUUCUGAUAUUAAUGGGAAUGAGUAUAAUGUAUAAAUAUAUAACCAUGAUUUUGGUUUUUUUCCAAGUUUUUAUCAGUAAUGAUUGCUGAGUUUUAUCAAAAUUUUUUUGGCAUCCAUUGAGAGGAUUAUAUAUUACUCUUUGACACAUUAAUGUGGUUAAUUAAAGUAACCAACUUAUUAACCUUGAAAUAGUCUUAGUUAAAUAAACCCUACUUGUCAAUGCUAUAUCAUUAUUUUAAUAUUGUACUGAACAUUUUACAAAGGUGUUUCACCAUAAGGCAUAUUGAUCUGUAAUUUUUUUUUUUCUGUUGAACUUGCUAUUGUCAGGUUUUGGUGUAUUAUGUUGGUUUUGGAGAAUAAAUUUAAAAGUUUCCUUUAUGUUAUCUAUACAUUGCCUGAAAAGAGUUUAAAUAGCAUUGAAAAUGAUCUCUUCUUUGAAGAUUUAACCAAUUUCACCUGUAAAUCUGUCUGUGCUUUGUAAUUUUGGUGAUACUGUUGACUCAAAUUCCAAAAGCAGUAAAUGCAGUGUUUUAUAUUUUUCUAUUAAAAAUGUAAAAUCAAAUUAUAUUA